GACGUAGGGUGCAAGCGUUGUCCGGAUUUAUUGGGCGUAAAGAGCUCGUAGGCGGUUUGUCGCGUCUGCCGUGAAAGUCCGGGGCUCAACUCCGGAUCUGCGGUGGGUACGGGCAGACUAGAGUGAUGUAGGGGAGACUGGAAUUCCUGGUGUAGCGGUGAAAUGCGCAGAUAUCAGGAGGAACACCGGUGGCGAAGGCGGUUCUCUGGGCAUUACCUGACGCUGAGGAGCGAAAGUGUGGGGAGCGAACAGG
rnacentral:rRNA from 1 species